rnacentral:rRNA from 1 species
CCUACGGGUGGCAGCAGUGAGGAAUAUUGGUCAAUGGCCGAGAGUCUGAACCAGCCAAGUAGCGUGAAGGAUGACUGCCCUAUGGGUUGUAAACUUCUUUUAUAUGGGAAUAAAGUGUUCCACGUGUGGGAUUUUGUAUGUACCAUAUGAAUAAGGAUCGGCUAACUCCGUGCCAGCAGCCGCGGUAAUACGGAGGAUCCGAGCGUUAUCCGGAUUUAUUGGGUUUAAAGGGAGCGUAGGUGGAUUGUUAAGUCAGUUGUGAAAGUUUGCGGCUCAACCGUAAAAUUGCAGUUGAAACUGGCAGUCUUGAGUACAGUAGAGGUGGGCGGAAUGCGUGGUGUAGCGGUGAAAUGCUUAGAUAUCACGAAGAACUCCGAUUGCGAAGGCAGUUCACUGGACUGCAACUGACACUGAGGCUCGAAAGUGUGGGUAUCAAACAGGAUUAGAUACCCCGGUAGUC